AAAGCUUUAAGUUAAAUAAUUAAACUAUUAACCUUCAAAGUUAAAAAAACACUAUAUGUAAGCUUUA
rnacentral:tRNA from 1 species